AGCGGCAUAGCCAAGUGGUAAGGCAGGAGACUGUAAAUCCUUUACCCCCAGUUCAAAUCUGGGUGCCGCCU
rnacentral:tRNA from 1 species